AUCAAGAAACAAAGAGCACACGGUGGAUGCCUUGGCACCUGGAGCCGAUGAAGGACGUGGACGGCUGCGAUAAGCCUCGGGGAGCUGCUGAUCAAGCGUUGAUCCGGGGAUUUCCGAAUGGGGAAACCCACCCGUGGUAAUGCGCGGGUACCCUCGCCUGAACACAUAGGGCGAGCGGAGGUAAGCCGGCGAACUGAAACAUCUUAGUAGCCGGAGGAAGAGAAAGAAACAUCGAUUCCCUGAGUAGUGGCGAGCGAAACGGGAACAGCCUAAACCGAAAUGGCGCGAUAGCCUGCGGGCGUUUCCAUUUCGGUGUUGUAGGACUUUGCAUGAUCGUGCCGCAGCGCGGUCGGGGAGUUACAAAUCGCUGUGUUAGCGGAAGGUGGUGGAAACCGCCGCCAGAGAGGGUAAAAGCCCCGUACGCGAAAACGCAGUGACUCCCUCGCAAGGAACCUGAGUACGACCGGGCACGGGAAACCCGGCCGGAAUCUGCGGGGACCACCCCGUAAGGCUAAAUACUCCCAGGUGACCGAUAGUGAACUAGUACCGUGAGGGAAAGGUGAAAAGCACCCCGGAAGGGGAGUGAAAUAGUACCUGAAACCGCGUGCUUACAAGCGGUCGGAGCGGCCUUGUGCCGUGACGGCGUACUUUUUGCAUAACGGGCCAGCGAGUUAGUCGUCUGUGGCUAGGUUAAGGAAACGGAGCCGUAGCGAAAGCGAGUCUGAAUAGGGCGUUUAGUCGCAGGCGCUAGACCCGAAACUGGGUGAUCUAUCCAUGGCCAGGUUGAAGCGGGGGUAAGACCCCGUGGAGGACCGAACCCACGUCGGUUGAAAACGGCGGGGAUGAGCUGUGGAUCGGAGUGAAAGGCUAAUCAAACCCAGAAAUAUCUGGUUCUCCCCGAAAUAUAUUUAGGUAUAGCCUCGUGCGUUCAGUACUGGUGGUAGAGCACUGUUUGGUCUAGGGGCCCUACCAGGUUACCGAAAUCAGGCAAACUCCGAAUGCCAGUACUCCAGAGCACGGGAGUCAGACUGCGGGGGAUAAGCUUCGUAGUCGAGAGGGAAACAGCCCUGACCGCCAGCUAAGGUCCCUAAAUCCUGACUAAGUGGUAAACGAUGUGCGGAUGCACAGACAACCAGGAGGUUGGCUUAGAAGCAGCCACCCUUGAAAGAGUGCGUAAUAGCUCACUGGUCAAGUGUUCGCGCGCGGAUAAUGUAGCGGGGCUCAAGUCAGGUACCGAAGCUGCGGAUUUCUGCGUAAGCAGGAGUGGUAGGGGAGCGUCCUCAUGCCGACUGAAGCGGCGGGGUAACCCAGCCGUGGAGGCAUGAGGAGUGAGAAUGCUGGCAUGAGUAACGAAAGAGGGGUGAUGAAACCCCUCCGCCGAAUGCCCAAGGGUUCCUGAGUAAAGCUAAUCUUCUCAGGGUUAGUCGGGACCUAAGCCGAGGCCGAAAGGCGUAGGCGAUGGACAACGGGUUGAUAUUCCCGUACCACGUCGGAAACAUUUGACCGAUGGGAGGACGGGGUAGGAUAAGGGAUCCCAGCCGUUGGUUGUGCUGGGGCAACUGUGUAGGCCGGCCGGGCGAAAACCGGCCAUAAGGCUGAGACAGGAUGCCGUGACGAACUGUCAGAAGUCCCGGAAGCCAUGCCCCCGAGAAAAGCCCCUAGGGAGUUUCCGCGUGCCCGUACCAAAACCGACACAGGUGGGCGGGUAGAGAAUACCAAGGUGAUCGAGAAAACCCUCGUUAAGGAACUCGGCAAAAUUGCCCCGUAACUUCGGGAGAAGGGGCGCCUCGUUAAGGUGAAGGACUUCGCGUCCGGAGCCUGAGGGGGCCGCAGUGAAUAGGCCCAAGCGACUGUUUACCAAAAACACAGGUCUCUGCUAAGUCGUAAGACGACGUAUAGGGGCUGACGCCUGCCCGGUGCCGGAAGGUCACGAGGAGAGGUUAGCCUUCGGGCGAAGCUUCGAAUCCAAGCCCCGGUAAACGGCGGCCGUAACUAUAACGGUCCUAAGGUAGCGAAAUUCCUUGUCGGGUAAGUUCCGACCUGCACGAAUGGCGUAACGACUUGGGCGCUGUCUCAA
rnacentral:rRNA from 1 species